AAUGGUGUGUUCUAACAAUGUGUAAUGUGAUAAUGGAGUGUUCUAACACUGUGUAUAACACUGUGUAUAAUGUGAUAAUGUAGUGUUCUAACACUGUGUAUAACACUGUGUAUAAUGUGAUAAUGUAGUGUUCUAACACUGUGUUUAAUGUGAUAAUGGAGUGUUCUAACACUGUGUAUAAGGUGAUCAUGGAGUGUUCUAACACUGUGUUUAAUGUGAUAAUGGAGUGUUCUAACACUGUGUAUAAGGUGAUAAUGGAGUGUUCUAACACUGUGCAUAAGGUGAUAAUGGUGUGUUCUAACAAUGUGUAUAAUGUGAUAAUGGAGUGUUCUAACACUGUGUAUAAGGUGAUAAUGGAGUGUUCUAACACUGUGUAUAAGGUGAUAAUGGAGUGUUCUAACACUGUGUAUAAGGUGAUAAUGGAGUGUUCUAACACUGUGUAUAAGGUGAUAAUGGAGUGUUCUAACACUGUGUAUAAGGUGAUAAUGGAGUGUUCUAACACUGUGUAUAAGGUGAUAAUGGAGUGUUCUAACACUGUGUAUAAGGUGAUAAUGGAGUGUUCUAACACUGUGUAUAAGGUGAUAAUGGAGUGUUCUAACACUGUGUAUAAGGUGAUAAUGACCAGCUACAUGGUUGUUCCCUGGUGACCUGUGUCAUUGUGUCUCUAGGAGGGGGAGGAUAAGAAGUUCCUGAUCACUCGUCUCCAGGCCAUCCACCAGCAGAAACGACCCUCUCCCCUCGCAGACUCACCAGUCAGGCCAGUCAGGAUUCCAACUGUUAGCAUUCCAACUACUGAAAGGGCAUUCUCUCCCUUCUCAUUGGAGGGAAUAUAUGCCAUUUAUCUCAGAAUAUGUCCUGAAUGGACCAACCUGGAUGUAGCUCUCCUCUGCUGCCUCUGGGAAGAGUUGUUAAGGGAUUCUUCAACUGGAAAACUAUUCUCAUAGGAUGUCCUCUUUCCCAGGAAGCUGAGUUGGGACUGGGACUAUAAAGGAAUUUACUUCUUUACAAUAACAAAUCCCACAAACGCCAAAACGUGAAUCUGAUAGGAUCCACACUCUUUCCCAGGAAGCUGGUCCUUAUAAGGAUUGGGAAUAGGAUUGGGAAUGGGACAAAGCAGGCUUUCCCUCUUCCAAUAACAGACUACACCUCAUAGGGAAAGACCACUGUCUUUAUAGGAUCUUACUAUGGCCAGGCCAUAGGCUCCACCUUACUGUAACUAGGCUACAUAGG